rnacentral:rRNA from 1 species
GAUGAACGCUGGCGGCGUGCCUAAUACAUGCAAGUCGAGCGAAUGGAUUGAGAGCUUGCUCUUAUGAAGUUAGCGGCGGACGGGUGAGUAACACGUGAGUAACCUGCCCAUAAGACUGGGAUAACUCCGGGAAACCGGGGCUAAUACCGGAUAACAUUUUGAACCGCAUGGUUCGAAAUUGAAAGGCGGCUUCGGCUGUCACUCAUGGAUGGACCCGCGUCGCAUUAGCUAGUUGGUGAGGUAACGGCUCACCAAGGCAACGAUGCGUAGCCGACCUGGGGGGGUGAUCGGCCACACUGGGACUGGGACACGGCCCAGACUCCUACGGGAGGCAGCAGUAGGGAAUCUUCCGCAAUGGACGAAAGUCUGACGGAGCAACGCCGCGUGUGUGAUGAAGGCUUUCGGGUCGUAAAACUCUGUUGUUAGGGAAGAACAAGUGCUAGUUGAAUAAGCUGGCACCUUGACGGUACCUAACCAGAAAGCCACGGCUGACUACGUGCCAGCCGCCGCCGUAA